GGGCAAUCUGCCCUGCACUCUGGGACAAGCCCUGGAAACGGGGUCUAAUACCGGAUACUGAUCCUCGCAGGCAUCUGCGAGGUUCGAAAGCUCCGGCGGUGCAGGAUGAGCCCGCGGCCUAUCAGCUAGUUGGUGAGGUAACGGCUCACCAAGGCGACGACGGGUAGCCGGCCUGAGAGGGCGACCGGCCACACUGGGACUGAGACACGGCCCAGACUCCUACGGGAGGCAGCAGUGGGGAAUAUUGCACAAUGGGCGAAAGCCUGAUGCAGCGACGCCGCGUGAGGGAUGACGGCCUUCGGGUUGUAAACCUCUUUCAGCAGGGAAGAAGCGAAAGUGACGGUACCUGCAGAAGAAGCGCCGGCUAACUACGUGCCAGCAGCCGCGGUAAUACGUAGGGCGCAAGCGUUGUCCGGAAUUAUUGGGCGUAAAGAGCUCGUAGGCGGCUUGUCACGUCGGUUGUGAAAGCCCGGGGCUUAACCCCGGGUCUGCAGUCGAUACGGGCAGGCUAGAGUUCGGUAGGGGAGAUCGGAAUUCCUGGUGUAGCGGUGAAAUGCGCAGAUAUCAGGAGGAACACCGGUGGCGAAGGCGGAUCUCUGGGCCGAUACUGACGCUGAGGAGCGAAAGCGUGGGGAGCGAACAGGAUUAGAUACCCUGGUAGUCCACGCCGUAAACGGUGGGCACUAUGUGUGGGCAACAUUCCACGUUGUCCGUGCCGCAGCUAACGCAUUAAGUGCCCCGCCUGGGGAGUACGGCCGCAAGGCUAAAACUCAAGGAAUUUGACGGGGGCCCGCACAAGCGGCGGAGCAUGUGGCUUAAUUUCGACGCAACGCGAAGAACCCUUACCAGGCUUGACAUACACCGGGAAACCCUGGAGACAGGGUCCCCUUGGUGUCGGGUGGUACAGGUGGUGCAUGGCUGUCGUCAGCUCGUGUCGUGAGAUUGUUGGUUACGUCCGCACGACGCAUCCCUUGUCCGUGUGCACAGGCCUUGGUGGUGCUGGGACUCACGGAACGCGGGGUUCAACUCGACGAGGUGGG
rnacentral:rRNA from 1 species